AUGAAACAAGAUGAAACGCCAAUGUACGGGCGCAGAUGGGGCCGAGAUGAAACGAAAUGAAACAAAAUGAAACAAGAUGAAACAAGAUGAAACAAGAUGAAACCAAAAUGAAACUCGAAGUACGGGCGUAGAUGGGCCGCGAAUGAAACAAGAUGAAACAAGAUGAAACAAGAUGAAACAAUGUACGGGCGGAGAUGGGCCGCGCCCAGUGCACCCGGCGUGACGUGCACGAGCGAAAAGAACUGAAUUAAUCCAAUCAUUGAAAUAAUUUUGUUUGCAGAGGCAAUUCGCGCAAGGGAGGUAUGGCUUGCGAGUGACAGCACGAGCCGAAUUUAUUGCCCGUGGAAGUACCCACGAUAGGAAUACACUGUUGGGAACAUGGUGGCGCCGCUGACGGUACCUAUGUAAGUGGAAUUACUUUAUUGGAAGUACCCACGACGGGGAAAAUAGUCUCUCUAGUAUUGUCGGUGAAUGGUGAUGGUGGUGGUGGCGAUGGCUACUUUCCUCUGCUCAGAGAGAACCCCUGCAUGUCCUUCGUCGUGAUGCGAAAGAGCAGUGGAUGCAGAAAAUGUCUCUACCUGCCAGGAUGGUAUAAGAGCACGAACUGAAUCACCUGUUGGUGCAGAAGGCUUGGAGGACUGCUUUUGAAACAGUUGUUCAAAUUUCCUGCACCUCUUCGUAGCCGUUGUCUGAUUGCUGCAUUCUGGGGAGACUGAAGUUAAGAAGCCCUCACCGAAACCAACACUACGUUGCUGUGUUGUUUUCUUCCAAGGUCGGGCACAGUAAAGGAGACGACUCUGUAUCAAGGCACUACCCAGAGGGAGGAUGUUGGCCUUCUCCUGAUGGGAAAAUGUCUUCUUUCUCAUGGCGUGGCCAGGACUGCACUGACCCUACCAUCCACUCUACCUCUCCGGAAAGGGACUUGACAACCAGUCAAGAUGGAUGUGCAGAGAUAUACUAGCGCUUCUAGCAUUAACUGCCAAUUUGCACUGACGCAGCAAGACUCCCAACAGUCAAAAAAUGUCUCUACCUGCCAGGAUGGUAUAAGAGCACGAACUGAAUCACCUGUUGGUGCAGAAGGCUUGGAGGACUGCUUUUGAAACAGUUGUUCAAAUUUCCUGCACCUCUUCGUAGCCGUUGUCUGAUUGCUGCAUUCUGGGGAGACUGAAGUUAAGAAGCCCUCACCGAAACCAACACUACGUUGCUGUGUUGUUUUCUUCCAAGGUCGGGCACAGUAAAGGAGACGACUCUGUAUCAAGGCACUACCCAGAGGGAGGAUGUUGGCCUUCUCCUGAUGGGAAAAUGUCUUCUUUCUCAUGGCGUGGCCAGGACUGCACUGACCCUACCAUCCACUCUACCUCUCCGGAAAGGGACUUGACAACCAGUCAAGAUGGAUGUGCAGAGAUAUACUAGCGCUUCUAGCAUUAACUGCCAAUUUGCACUGACGCAGCAAGACUCCCAACAGUCAAAAAAUGUCUCUACCUGCCAGGAUGGUAUAAGAGCACGAACUGAAUCACCUGUUGGUGCAGAAGGCUUGGAGGACUGCUUUUGAAACAGUUGUUCAAAUUUCCUGCACCUCUUCGUAGCCGUUGUCUGAUUGCUGCAUUCUGGGGAGACUGAAGUUAAGAAGCCCUCACCGAAACCAACACUACGUUGCUGUGUUGUUUUCUUCCAAGGUCGGGCACAGUAAAGGAGACGACUCUGUAUCAAGGCACUACCCAGAGGGAGGAUGUUGGCCUUCUCCUGAUGGGAAAAUGUCUUCUUUCUCAUGGCGUGGCCAGGACUGCACUGACCCUACCAUCCACUCUACCUCUCCGGAAAGGGACUUGACAACCAGUCAAGAUGGAUGUGCAGAGAUAUACUAGCGCUUCUAGCAUUAACUGCCAAUUUGCACUGACGCAGCAAGACUCCCAACAGUCAAGUAUGUUUCAUUGCAUGCACUAGGAUUACAGUAGAAUGCCGAUUAUCCGAAUGUCAACUGUCCAAACGGUCAAUUAUCCGAAAUUCCUGUUUGCACUGAAUUCAAUUCAAUAAGUCGACUUAUACCGGUAAAAUAUGGUAACAGCGGGACUGUAGGGUGUGGCAUUUCCAUGAUACAGUGGAAAAUUUCACGAUUUUUGGUGCAAACAUAGCUCGGACGCUGCUCGAUUGGAUAUACAAUGCAGGUUCUUGGAACCACGGACACGACUCUUCGAUUCAAGGAUCACAACACUUCGGGAUCUGAACGUUUUAGGUCCGGGAGCUGUUCGCGGUUUUGUCGCUUGUCACGGUUGUGGACUCAUCGUUGUAGCAUAAAUGAGGCUGGACUAUUCCAAGCGGAAAACUAAAAUAUUUCCUUCUCAAAGCACAAUCACCGGCCCGGAGGAGCACACCUUCUCUAACUACAUACCGGGUGCAGUACAUGACACGUCCGUGUAUUGACUAGUCUCUUGUACAUUAAUUUUAGAUCUACCACACGACUCGCGUAGCGCUAGCACAGCAGUGCGGGUGUAGUCAUGUACUACUACUACUACAGUACUGCCGGGCGCCGAUGAACGGCCAGGCUAUGAUUUCGCUAUUUUUUAAGAACGGUCUAGGUAGAAACGUGAUGUACAAUAUGAAUAUGAUGUACACUCAGACGUAUAACUCUGCAUAAAUGUACAUGUAAGACUGAACCAUCGAAUAUGAACGAAACUGCUGUGUUCGCCAAAAAUAAGAACGGGCUAGGCUAGAACCCUGACCCCGUUCUUCGGCGCCCGGCAGUACUGUAGUGUAAUGUCCCGUAUGUUUGUUGACUAUGGCAUGCACGCAGAAGCCAGCGGAUGUAAAAAGUCCAACUCGGAAACGGCUAAAAACGGGGUAUCCUCAAAUUUUGCCGAGCUGAAAAUCACAGGGUACGUAGGGCUUGUAACAGUGAGUCGAAUGCUCUUGGUACGAAGAAGCUGCGACAGAUAGUUCUCAAAUCGAACGCGUUUCGAAUAUUGGCCAUUUUGCACACAAAUAGAUGGUGUGGCUACCUGGCUGCACACUGUGACCUUAUCACCUGGAUCAGGUAGACUGCGUGCUCGCUUUCGCUCAUUUUCGAUUAGGCGUAUCUGACGAACCAUGGACCGCCGCCUCCUCGGAAAAGAACAUUCGACUCAGCGCCCCAAACUCUAUGGGUCCUGAAAUUAAAAAAAAUUCAGCAGACUUCCCCUAUAAUACGUAAGGCAGAACUUAUUACAGUCCUUGAUUAGAAGUUGACAUAUUCUUGUACGAAUCCGGUGUCUUUUGUGAAAAGUGUAUGCAAGCCUUUUAAAAAGCAUCUCCCACCAGGCAUUCGAUCGAAUUUUUCAUGGCGUGGAGAUUUGUUACGGCGUGAACCGAUGCUUGGCGUGUAGAAUUUGCUUUUUGAUGUGUUCUUUGGAAGAUGCAGUCUUAAAAAUGGUGUGGAUGUCUUUGUUUCUGUCCUUCUGCUGUCCUCGUAGAAAGAAUAAUAUAGACGUGCAGAAAAUGUAGGAGAGCGAUGACAUCAGAAGGACACUCUCAGGUUCAGGGUACCUGUACUGCCCCAAUAAAGUGGGUCAGAUCCCAAAACGAGGUUGGCCGAAGCAAAAAAAAUAGAAGAGCCUGCCUUGAACUGAAUAUGAGGAGGAAGAAGAAGAAGACAAAGAAAGAGAAAGAGUAGGAAUUUGUUUGUGUAAACUUUGUUUCCUCUGUCUAGGCUGCCACCGCAUUAUAGCAGCCAACAGUGUGUGUGUGUGUGCGUGCGUGCGUGCGUGCGUGCGUGCGUGUGUGUGUUUGCGUUUGUGUGCACACGCUUGUGUGCACACGCUUGUGUGUGUGUUUGCAUGUGUGUAUAUUCUGCUAAUCUUGACUUAAAUUUCCACAUCUGGGCAUAUUGUGUUCUGUAUGUGAAUUUAUCUUCAUUAACUUGUGCGCUACGUUCCUUUCUUCACGUUACGGCACUUUAGUAUUGUUUUACUUGAACAUCAUACUCUCGCCCAACUUUGUUUCACCAACAAAGGUUUAUUCUCCAAAGUAUUUCUAAUUGAUUGUGUAUGAGUUUCAUACUACUGUCAGGGGCGUCGGAAUGUUUUUUAGUGUGGUACGGUCAGCCAUCUGAAGUACAAUUGACUCGUGGGGGAGUGUUGGCUGAGCCGAAAAUUUUGGAAUUUUA